UGGGGAAUAUUGGACAAUGGGCGAAAGCCUGAUCCAGCCAUGCCGCGUGUGUGAAGAAGGUCUUCGGAUUGUAAAGCACUUUAAGUUGGGAGGAAGGGCAUUAACCUAAUACGUUAGUGUUUUGACGUUACCGACAGAAUAAGCACCGGCUAACUCUGUGCCAGCAGCCGCGGUAAUACAGCGGGUGCAAACGUUAAUCGGAAUUACUGGGCGUAAAGCGCGCGUAGGUGGUUUGUUAAGUUGGAUGUGAAAUCCCCGGGCUCAACCUGGGAACUGCAUUCAAAACUGACUGACUAGAGUAUGGUAGAGGGUGGUGGAAUUUCCUGUGUAGCGGUGAAAUGCGUAGAUAUAGGAAGGAACACCAGUGGCGAAGGCGACCACCUGGACUAAUACUGACACUGAGGUGCGAAAGCGUGGGGAGCAAACA
rnacentral:rRNA from 1 species